AUCAUUACCGAGUUUACAACUCCCAAACCCCUGUGAACAUACCUUACUGUUGCCUCGGCGGAUCAGCCCGCUCCCGGUAAAACGGGACGGCCCGCCAGAGGACCCCUAAACUCUGUUUCUAUAUGUAACUUCUGAGUAAAACCAUAAAUAAAUCAAAACUUUCAACAACGGAUCUCUUGGUUCUGGCAUCGAUGAAGAACGCAGCAAAAUGCGAUAAGUAAUGUGAAUUGCAGAAUUCAGUGAAUCAUCGAAUCUUUGAACGCACAUUGCGCCCGCCAGUAUUCUGGCGGGCAUGCCUGUUCGAGCGUCAUUUCAACCCUCAAGCCCUCGGGUUUGGUGUUGGGGAUCGGCGAGCCUUUCUGGCAAGCCGGCCCCGAAAUCUAGUGGCGGUCUCGCUGCAGCCUCCAUUGCGUAGUAGUAAAACCCUCGCAACUGGAACGCGGCGCGGCCAAGCCGUUAAACCCCCAACUUCUGAAUGUUGACCUCGGAUCAGGUAGGAAUACCCGCUGAACUUAAGCAUAUCAA
rnacentral:rRNA from 1 species